rnacentral:rRNA from 1 species
UAGCACUCAUGUGUUAGAGCUAACGCAGGGAACUGAAACAUCUUAGUACCUGCAGGAAGAGAAAAUAAAUGAAUGAUUCCCCUAGUAGUGGCGAGCGAACGGGGAACAGCCCAAACCGUUGACGUCGCAAGGCGCCAGCGGGGUUGUAGGACCGCGACAUUGUACUGAAAUGGUGAGUGGAAGUAUCUGGAAAGUUACAUCACAGAAGGUGAUAAUCCUGUACACGAAGCCAGAUCAGGCAUAGCGGUAUCCUGAGUAACGCGGGACACGAGGAAUCCUGCGCGAAUCUGCCGGGACCAUCCGGUAAGGCUAAAUACUCCCGUGAGACCGAUAGCGAACGAGUACUGUGAAGGAAAGGUGAAAAGAACCCCGAGCAGGGGAGUGAAAUAGUUCCUGAAACCAUGCGCCUACAAGCGGUCGGAGCAUCGCAAGAUGUGACGGCGUGCCUUUUGCAUAAUGAUCCUACGAGUUACCGUCACUGGCGAGGUUGAGUGUCAUGAGACACGUAGCCGCAGUGAAAGCGAGCCUGAAUAGGGCGCACAGUCAGUGGGGGUAGACGCGAAACCAAGUGAUCUACACUUGGCCAGGAUGAAGUCCCGGUAACACGGGAUGGAGGUCCGCACCAAUAAGCGUUGAAAAGCUUCUGGAUGAGCCGAGUGUAGGAGUGAAAGGCCAAUCAAACUUGGAGAUAGCUCGUACUCCCCGAAAGGCAUUUAGGUGCCGCGUCGGAUGGUCACCGUGAGAGGUAGAGCGACCGAUAGGACAAGAGGGCUUCACCGCCUAUCGAGUCCUGACGAACUCCGAAUGCUCACGGUCUGCAGUCCGGCAGUAAGGGGGCGGGUGCUAAGGUCCGUCCCCGAGAGGAGAAGAAUCCAGACCGCCGUCUAAGGUCCCGGAGUUCUGCCUGAGUUAGUCUAACGAAGUCUGGUCCCUAUGACAGCUAGGAUGUUGGCUUGGAAGCAGCCAUUCAUUCAAAGAGUGCGUAACAGCUCACUAGUCGAGGGUCCGGGCAUGGAUAAUAAUCGGGUAUAAGGCAGACACCGAAGGCGCGGGAUAGCAAUUUUAAAAGUAUCGGUAGGGGAGCAUACUCACAGCGUCGAAUGGUGUACGUAAGUUAUCCUGGAGCGGUGAGUAAAGCAAAUGUAGGAAUAAGUAACGAUAAGGAGGGUUAGAUUCCCUCCCGCUGUAAGACCAAGGUUUCCCGGGCAAUGCCAAUCAGCCCGGGGUCAGUCGGGUCCUAAGUCUAAGCCGAACGGCGAUGGCGAUGGCAGAGACGGUUAAUAUUCCGUCACUGCCGCAUGGGGCGACGUGGAGACGGAGCAGUGAAACCACCGCGGGGCGACGGAAGUCCCCGUUGAAGAGUGUAGGCGUUGAGGAUGGCAGGCAAAUCCACCAUCCGAGCUGAACUUGACAGUAUGGAGUCUUCUUCGGAAGAAUCCAAUAGUGUGGGUAAUCAUACUCCCGAGAAAAUCCGCUAAGCUUAACCCAUGCGGCACCCGUACCGCAAACGGACACACGUGGUCGGGUAGAACAUACUAAGGCGUUGAGAGAUUCAUGGUUAAGGAACUAGGCAAAUUGACCCUGUAACUUCGGGAUAAAGGGUCCUCGUGAUGAGCGAGGCGCAGAGAAUAGGUCCAGGCAACUGUUUAACAAAAACACAGGGCUGUGCAAACUCGAAAGAUGACGUAUACAGCCUGACACCUGCCCGGUGCCGGAAGGUUAAGAGGAGAUGUCACUCGCAAGAGGAAGCAUUGAAUUGAAGCCCCGGUAAACGGCGGCCGUAACUAUAACGGUCCAAAGGUAGCGAAAUUCCUUGUCGGGUAAGUUCCGACCUGCACGAAUGGUGUAAUGAUCUGGACACUGUCUCAACCGUG